GUCGAGCGAACAGAUAAGGAGCUUGCUCCUUUGACGUUAGCGGCGGACGGGUGAGUAACACGUGGGUAACCUACCUAUAAGACUGGGACAACUUCGGGAAACCGGAGCUAAUACCGGAUAAUAUGUUGAACCGCAUGGUUCAAUAGUGAAAGAUGGUUUUGCUAUCACUUAUAGAUGGACCCGCGCCGUAUUAGCUAGUUGGUGAGGUAACGGCUUACCAAGGCAACGAUACGUAGCCGACCUGAGAGGGUGAUCGGCCACACUGGAACUGAGACACGGUCCAGACUCCUACGGGAGGCAGCAGUAGGGAAUCUUCCGCAAUGGGCGAAAGCCUGACGGAGCAACGCCGCGUGAGUGAUGAAGGUCUUAGGAUCGUAAAACUCUGUUAUUAGGGAAGAACAAACGUGUAAGUAACUGUGCACGUCUUGACGGUACCUAAUCAGAAAGCCACGGCUAACUACGUGCCAGCAGCCGCGGUAAUACGUAGGUGGCAAGCGUUAUCCGGAAUUAUUGGGCGUAAAGCGCGCGUAGGCGGUUUUUUAAGUCUGAUGUGAAAGCCCACGGCUCAACCGUGGAGGGUCAUUGGAAACUGGAAAACUUGAGUGCAGAAGAGGAAAGUGGAAUUCCAUGUGUAGCGGUGAAAUGCGCAGAGAUAUGGAGGAACACCAGUGGCGAAGGCGACUUUCUGGUCUGUAACUGACGCUGAUGUGCGAAAGCGUGGGGAUCAAACAGGAUUA
rnacentral:rRNA from 1 species